GUGUCAGCAGCCGCGGUAAUACGUAGGGUGCAAGCGUUGUCCGGAAUUAUUGGGCGUAAAGAGCUCGUAGGCGGUCUGUCGCGUCGGAUGUGAAAACCCAGGGCUCAACCCUGGGCCUGCAUUCGAUACGGGCAGACUAGAAUUCGGUAGGGGAGUCUGGAAUUCCUGGUGUAGCGGUGAAAUGCGCAGAUAUCAGGAGGAACACCGGUGGCGAAGGCGGGACUCUGGGCCGAUAUUGACGCUGAGGAGCGAAAGCGUGGGGAGCGAACAGGAUUAGAUACCCUCGUAGUCC
rnacentral:rRNA from 1 species